GGGCCCGCACAAGCGGUGGAGUAUGUGGUUUAAUUCGAUGCAACGCGAAGAACCUUACCAGGGUUUGACAUCCUGCGAAUCUCUUGGAAACGAGAGAGUGCCUUCGGGAACGCAGUGACAGGUGGUGCAUGGCUGUCGUCAGCUCGUGUCGUGAGAUGUUGGGUUAAGUCCCGCAACGAGCGCAACCCACGUCGUUAGUUGCCAGCGAGUAAUGUCGGGAACUCUAACGAAACUGCCAGUGCAAACUGUGAGGAAGGUGGGGAUGACGUCAAAUCAUCACGGCCCUUACGUCCUGGCUACACACGUGCUACAAUGGCCGGUACAGAGAGCAGCCACUUCGCAAGAAGGAGCG
rnacentral:rRNA from 1 species